GGGGAUUUAGCUCAGCGGUAGAGCGCUUGCCUAGGAAGCUCAAGGCCCUGGGUUCGGUCCCCAGCUCCA
rfam:Rattus norvegicus chromosome X, whole genome shotgun sequence.